rnacentral:rRNA from 1 species
GCGUUGUUCGGAAUUACUGGGCGUAAAGGGCUCGUAGGCGGCCAACUAAGUCAGACGUGAAAUCCCUCGGCUUAACCGGGGAACUGCGUCUGAUACUGGAUGGCUUGAGUUCGGGAGAGGGAUGCGGAAUUCCAGGUGUAGCGGUGAAAUGCGCAGAUAUCGGGAGGAACACCAAUGGCGAAGGCAGCUCGCUGGGACGUGACUGACGCUGAGACGCGAAAGCGUGGGGAGCAAACAGG